rnacentral:rRNA from 1 species
UACGUAGGGUGCAAGCGUUGUCCGGAAUUAUUGGGCGUAAAGAGCUCGUAGGCGGCUUGUCGCGUCGGCUGUGAAAACCUGGGGCUCAACCCCGGGCCUGCAGCCGAUACGGGCAAGCUAGAAUUCGGUAGGGGAGACUGGAAUUCCUGGUGUAGCGGUGAAAUGCGCAGAUAUCAGGAGGAACACCGGUGGCGAAGGCGGGGUCUCUGGGCCGAUAUUGACGCUGAGGAGCGAAAGCGUGGGGAGCGAACAGG